UCUGAUUCCAGGUAGAAUGUUAGUUAUUGGGUUUGCUGAUCAUCUUCUUGACACGAUAAAUUUUGAACUUCUGACAUGUUUGUAUUUUUUAUAAAAUGUCUUUUAUAAAAUGUCUGAUUUCUUUUUCUUUUUAUUGGUCGUGUUUUCUGGAGGAAAGGAAAGUUAUAUAGUGUAGUAGGGCUAGUAGAUAAUCUUCUUUUUUGGUGAAUAAAUAAUUUAGUGUAGUAUUACUUAUUGAUAAUUUGAUGAAUAAAUAAUAUGUUGGAAGUCCCUGUGGUAGCUCAUAGUUCUUUUUAAACGAACUAAAACCCUAAACCUCUCGCUGCGACGUUUACCUCUCGCUGCGGCGUUUUCCUCGGUGAACGGCGGCUGCCGCGUCUUCCUCUCCAUCGGCGAAACAGCGUCUCCGCCCCCCCGAGUGGGAUUACCAAGCAGUAGGGAGUUAUUUGAUGCUAAAUUGGAGAAUAAAACUUACAGGAUUAUUACUCGAGUUUAGGAAAGAUUCCCAAAAAACAUUGCUACCAGUUGUCCAAAAGCCUGAUGGGAAGAAAAAUUUGAUGGUUUGUGAUCAGAUUUCUAUAAACAAUUUCUGCUGCUAAAUAGAUCUCUAGGUCUUUGUUUAUCUGUUAUAUCUCCUCUGACUACUCUAUGUUAUAUUUGAUAUUACUGAUUCUGAGGUAUCAAAUUUAGUUUAAUAUUUAAAUUUUUAAGAAGAAUGGAGUGAUUUGCUUAAUAAAGCUCCAACAAGUCACAUAUGUAGUACCUGGUACUGAAGACUUUGACCACACUGAUAUCUCUGAAUUUGUUCAGAAAGCUCCGGGUCUCUUAGUAAGUUUCAGAAAAUUAGAACUUGGAGAUAGUGACAGUGACAGCUGAGGAAUUAGCUGUGGUACCUAUUUUGCAGAAUCAACUUUCCAUGCUUGAACACUGCUAAUCUUUCAUUUUCUUCAGAUUAUAUAUGACAGCAAGGAAUCUCUUGAAAGCUACUGUUCCCAUCUCUUGUUGUCUAGACCUGACAUAUAUUUUAAUGUGGUUGAUGGCAAGGGAUAUUCUUCUCUAUACGGUCUUCGAUGACGAUGGCUUGAUUUAGCUUGCUUCCAUCCUUAUUGUCAUUGUUCCGUCGUAAGUUCUUGAUCCUUGGUCCAAAGAUGGUUUGGUACAGGGAUUCUUUGGGAAAGAUUCUUUUGGUCUAUUUUGUGAUCGCCCCUUCCUCGACGAUGGUGGAAAACUUGCCGUAGACACCAUCAUCAGCAUAGAUUCCUUGGUAGAGGCUAAAAAUGAAGGUGCCGAUUGACAAGGAGGGUUUUCUAUAGUUGCAUCGAUGGUGAUCUCAUGUUUUUGCUUGUUUCCUAUCCUAUGGUGGCCAUUCUAUUGCAAAUUCUUGAUCCUUGGUGCAGAGAAGUGUCAGUUCAAGGAUUCUUUUGAAUAGAUUCUUUUGGUCACAGAUUUUCAUAGCAAGCUCUGCUGCUGCCUAGCUUGCAAUGAAGAUGGCAAUUGACAAGGAGGUUUUUUUUCUCUCAUUAGGCCGGUGAUGCUUUGUCUUUCUUCCAGCCCUUUCAUUGCUGUUUGAUCACAGAUUCUUGAUCUUUUGGUCCAGAGGAGAAGAGUUGGUAGGUUGGUUCUUUGGGACAUGGAGUGUUCCUUUGCCACAUGAUGGAUUUCUGCCCAUUGGCGAGGAAAUCUUUUGUCAAUUGCAUAAUUGCGUUGAUAAAGGAAACUGAGGUGUAGUAGAUUAUUUGGUCAUAGUGUGUUGCUAUGAUCCUGCUGUUUGUGCUUCUUAUGGAAUGAAGAAGAGAUAAUUGGAUUGGUUGCCGAUAAGUGGCUGAGAAAGUUUAUUCAUUAGUGUUUGAUAAAUCCAGCUAAUCUGUUUGUAAUAUUAUGAUCAGCUUAGUGAGUGUGGGAAGUUCUUUAUGGCAAGCCAAGGCAGGCACUGACCCCAGCCAGUAAAUGAAUGUGAUAUUUAUUCAGAGUGGGAUUACCAAGCAGUAGGGAGAUAUUUGAUGCUAAAUUGGAGAAGAAAACUUACAGGAUUAUUACUCGAGUUUAGGAAAGAUUCCCAAAAAACAUUGCUACCAGUUGUCCAAAAGCCUGACGGGAAGAAAAAUUGGAUGGUUUGUGAUCAGAUUCCUAUAAACAAUUUCAGCUGCUAAAUAGAUCUCUAGGUCUUUGUUUAUCUUUUAUAUCUCCUCUGACUACUCUAUGUUAUAUUUGAUAUUACUGAUUCUGAGGUAUCAAAUUUAGUUUAGUAUUUAAUUUUUAAAGAAUAAUGGUGUGAUUUGCUUAAUAAAGCUCCAACAAGUCACAUAUGUAGUACCUGGUAUUGAAGACUUUGACCACACUGAUAUCUAUGAAUUUGUUCAGAAAGCUCAGGGUCUCUUAGUAAGUUUCAGAAAAUUAGAACUUGGAGACAGUGACAGUGACAGCUGAGGAAUUAGCUGUGGUACCUAUUUUGCAGAAUCAACUUUCCAUGAUUGAACACUGCUCAUCUUUCAUUUUCUUAAGAUUAUAUAUGGCAGCAAGGAAUCUCUUGAAAGCUACUGUUCCCUUCUUUUGUUGUCUAGAGAUGACAUUUUAAUAUGAUUGAUGGCAAGGGAUAUUCUUCUCUUUAUGAACCACGACCAAGCAUUAAGGGUCAAUACGAGGAUUCUUUAGGAAAGAUUCUUUUGGUCAAUUUUCGUGGCUGCCCAACCACUUACUCGAUGGAGGUGACAGGCUAUUUUUCAUGGAUGAGGUGGAGGUGGGUUUUCUCUCAUUGCAUCGGUCUUCGAUGACGAUGGCAUGCUUUUGCUUGCUUCCAUCCUUAUUGUCAUCGUUCCGUCGUAAGUUCUUGAUCCUUGGUCCAAAGAUGGUUCGGUACAGGGAUUCUUUGGGAAAGAUUCUUUUGGUCUAUUUCAUAACCGCCCCUUCCUCGACGAUGGUGAUCUCAUGCUUUUGCUUGUUUCUUAUCCUAUGGUGGCCAUUCUAUCGCAAAUUCUUGAUCCUUGGUGCAGAGAAGUGUUGGUUCACAGAUUCUUUUGAAUAGAUUCUUUUGGUCACAGAUUUUCACAGCAAGCUCUGCUGCUGCCUAGCUUGCAAUGAAGAUGGCAAUUGACGAGGAGGUUUUUUCUCUCAUUAGGCCGGUGAUGCUUUGUCUUUCUUCCAGCCCUAUCAUUGCUGUUUGAUCACAGAUUCUUGAUCUCUUGGUCCAGAGGAGAAGAGUUGGUAGGUUGGUUCUUGGGGACAUGGAGUGUUCCUUUGCCACUUGAUGGAUUUCUGACCAUUGGCGAGGAAACCUUCUGUCAAUGGCAUAAUUGCGUUGAUAAAGGAACCUGAGGUGUAGUAGAUUAUUUGGUCAUAGUGUGUUGCUAUGAUCGUGCUGUUUGUGCUUCUUAUGGAUGAAGAAGAGAUAAUUGGAUUGGUUGCCGAUAAGUGGCUGAGAAAGUUUAUUCAUUAGUGUUUGAUAAAUCCAGCUAAUCUGUUUGUAAUAUUAUGAUCAGCUUAGUGAGUGUGGGAAGUUCUUUAUGGCAAGCCAAGGCAGACACCGACCACAGCCAGUAAAUGAAUGUGAUAUUUAUUCAGGAUCAAAUGACAAGGAUGGGCUCUGGUAUUUAUUAGCAUCAAUGUCAUCGUAGAAGGAGGUGGCAUCUUUUAUUACAAUAUGCAGUAAGCCAGCUCUGUUAUGAACAAAGACCUUGUCCUCUCCAAAUUGCAAAAGUGUAUAAUUUGGUCCAUCGACUAGUUAUGAAGAAUGGUAUGGAGGUUGCAAUGAAAAUACAGUACCCCCUGGUGUUGCAGAUAGCAUAGAAAGUGACAUCCAGAAUCAGUUUAAUUUUAGACUACACAAAUCUCAAUCCUAACGGAAUUUUUCUUGAUUACACUAGAAAGGGCUACCGACACAAGGCAGCAUCCUCGGACAAAUCGCCACAGAAGCUGCAUCGUCAAACAUGGCAAAUUUCCUCCAAACUUGAUUGUCACAUGUUCUCUUUGUUGUUGAUAUUGACAUGGUCGUUGUGGUGGUUCCACCUCA